rnacentral:lncRNA from 10 species
AGUGCUGGGAUUACAGGCGUGAGCCACCAUACCCGGCCAUGUGUGAUUUAGUUCUAUGCAAUAUUAUCACCUGUGUCAAUUUCUCUGAACACUACAGUCAAGAUAUAGAGUAGUUCCAUCACAGGAAUUCCUCAUGCUACCCUUCUACAGCCAAACCACCUCACUUUCUACCCUCACCACCAUCAACCCCCAUGAAACCACUCGUCUGGUCUCCGUCUCCUUUUUUCCCCCUCCAUCUUAAUUGAGGUAUAAUUGAGUUAAAAUCCAUCUCUUUAAUUUUGUCAUUUCAAGAAUAUUAUAUACAUGAAUCAUACAGCAGCAACAACAACAAAAAAGCCUUUUUUGAGAUGGAGUUUCACUCUUGUUGCCCACGCUGGAGUGCAAUAGCACAAUCUCAGCUCACUGUAACCCCUGUCUCCCAGGUUCAAGCGAUUCUCCUGCCUCAGCCUCCCGUGUAGCUGGGAUUACAGGCGCCCGCCACCACGCCUGGCUAAUUUUUUGUAUUUUUAGUAGAUACGAGGUUUCACCAUGUUGGUCAGGCAGGUUUCAAAUCCUGACCUCAGGUGAUCCACCCACCUGAGCCUCCCAAAGUGCUGGGAGUACAGGUGUGAGCCACCGUGCCUAGCUUUUUUUUUUUUUUUUUUUUGAGACGGAGGCUGUCGCCCAGGCUGGAGUGCAGUGGCACGAUCUCGGCUCACUGCAAGCUCCGCCUCCCAGAUUCAGGCCAUUCUCCUGCCUUAGCCUCCUGAGUAGCUGGGACUACAGGCGCCUGCCACCAUGCCGGCUAAUUUUUUUUGUAUUUUUAGUAGAGACAGGGGUUUCACCAUGUUAGCCAGGAUGGUCUCGAGCUCCUAACCUUGUGAUCCGCCCGCCUCGGCCUCCCGAGUGCUGGGAUUACAGGCGUGAGCCACCGCACACGGCCUUUAUUAUUAUUAUUAUUUUUUAAAAAGACAGAGUCUUGAUUGCUCUGUUUCCCAGGCUGGUCUCAAACUCCUAGGCUCAAGCAAUCCUGCCUCAGCCCCCUGAGUAGCUGGCACUACAGGAAUGUGUCAUUGCACCCAGCUGUUACUGACUUUUUGAUGAGAAGUUUUUAAUUUUGAUGACAAUUUAUCUAAGUUUUCUUUUAUGAUUAUUGCUUUCUGUGUCCUAAGAAACCUUUGCUUUUCUUGAAGUCGAGAGAUUCUCCUAUUUUUUUUUUUUUUUAAAUAGACACAGGGUUUCACCAUAUUGUUCAGGCUGGUCUUCAACUCCUGAGCUUAAGCAAUCUGCCCACCUUGGCGUCCCAAAGUGCUGAGAUAACAGGCAUGAGCCACCGUGCCCGGCCUCUAUAUUUUCUUCUAAAAGCUUUGUAUUUUAGCUUUUACAUUUAGGCUUAUGAAAUUGCUCUUUUAGUAGUCUCUUUUUCCCCCCUAAAAAAUAAGAUGGCUACGUGUGUGUGUUGGUUGUUGUUGUUUUAACAGGGUCCAAUCGUGUUGCCCAGGCUGCAGUGUGGUUGUACAAUCACGGCUCACUGCAGCCUCCACCUCCCAGGCCCACGUGAUCCUCCCACCUCAGCCGCCUGAGUAGCUGGGACCACAGGUGUGCACUACCAUACCUAAUUUUUUUGUUUGUUUGAGACAGGGUCUCGCUCUGUUGCUUAGGCUGGAGUGCAGUGGUGAGAUCACGGCUUACUGCAGCCUUGACCUUCUGGGCUCAGACUAGGCACCAAAAUCACAUAGACUUGAUUCAUCCAAUGAACAAUAAAUAUGAUGCACCUACCACACCCCAGGUGCUGUUACAGAUGCUGGAGAUAUAGCCACAAAUAAGACAAGAUUCUUGCACACCAUGGAGUCUGUACACUAGUGUGUGAUGACUAGUUUUAUAUGUCAGCUGGGAUGGUGUUUUUGGAUGAAAUUAACAUUUAAAUCACUUAACUCUGAGUAAGCAGAUUGCCCUCCAUUAUGUGUGUGAGCCUCAUCCAGUCAGCUAAAGGCCUGAAUAGAAAGAAAAGAACAGCUUCCCCGAGUAAGAGUGAUUUCCCAACAGACUGCCUUUGGACUGGAACUGCACCAUCAUGCCAAAAAGCAGAAGGUAACACAAGCAGGAGAAAAAAAAAUCAAUCAACAGAAACAGACCCAGAAAUGACAGAGUUGAUGGAAUCCACAGAUACAACUUUAAAUAUGUCAACAAGGAAAAAUGGUUAUGCUAGACUGGUGCAAUUAUGAUUUUUUUCUUAUUUUUCUAAAUAUAUGAAAAUUAAACAAAAAGAACAUUAAUCCCUUAUAUGAAUAUUUAUUUUUUGAUGAUGAACAUUAUUCCCAAGAACAGAUAAAUGAAGGAAAUGAUAAACACCACAUUUAAGACAUUGAUUACCUCUUGGGGGAGGGAGACAGGGAGAAGGGUGCAACUGGGAUAGCUAUGUAGAACUAGACAGUGUGGUAGUACUACAUUUCUUAAGCUAAGAGGUGUGGAUGUGCCAUUGUAUUAUUCUUUAUACAGGUACUUUGUUUAUCUUAAAUAUUGCAAAAUACAAUUCAAAAAUAAACAAGGGCUGGGCACGGUGGCUGGCAUCUGUCCUCCCUCUGCCUGGAGAAA